rnacentral:rRNA from 1 species
UUCCAGACUCCUACGGGAGGCAGCAGUGAGGAAUAUUGGUCAAUGGCCGGAAGGCUGAACCAGCCAAGUCGCGUGAGGGAAUAAGGCCCUAUGGGUCGUAAACCUCUUUUGUCAGGGAGCAAAGGCGUCCACGUGUGGACGAGAGGAGAGUACCUGAAGAAAAAGCAUCGGCUAACUCCGUGCCAGCAGCCGCGGUAAUACGGAGGAUGCGAGCGUUAUCCGGAUUUAUUGGGUUUAAAGGGUGCGUAGGCGGGCUUUUAAGUCAGCGGUAAAAAUGCGGGGCUCAACCCCGUCCGGCCGUUGAAACUGGGGGCCUUGAGUGGGCGAGAAGAAGGCGGAAUGCGUGGUGUAGCGGUGAAAUGCAUAGAUAUCGCGCAGAACUCCGAUUGCGAAGGCAGCAUGCCGGCUCCACACUGACGCUGAGGCACGAAAGCGUGGGUAUCGAACAGGAUUAGAUACCCCUGUAC